rnacentral:rRNA from 1 species
GAAUUCGCCCUUAGAGUUUGAUCCUGGCUCAGGACGAACGCUGGCGGCGUGCCUAACACAUGCAAGUCGAACGGACGAGGAGGAGCUUGCUUCUCCAAGUCAGUGGUGGACGGGUGAGUAACGCGUGAGUAACCUGCCCUUCAGAGGGGGAUAACGUCUGGAAACGGACGCUAAUACCGCAUGACAUAUUUCCAUCGCAUGGUGGAGAUAUCAAAGGAGCAAUCCGCUGAAGGAUGGACUCGCGUCCGAUUAGAUAGUUGGCGGGGUAACGGCCCACCAAGUCGACGAUCGGUAGCCGGACUGAGAGGUUGAACGGCCACAUUGGGACUGAGACACGGCCCAGACUCCUACGGGAGGCAGCAGUGGGGGAUAUUGCACAAUGGGCGAAAGCCUGAUGCAGCAACGCCGCGUGAGGGAAGAAGGUCUUCGGAUUGUAAACUCCUGUUGUUGAGGAAGAUAAUGACGGUACUCAACAAGGAAGUGACGGCUAACUACGUGCCAGCAGCCGCGGUAAAACGUAGGUCACAAGCGUUGUCCGGAAUUACUGGGUGUAAAGGGAGCGCAGGCGGGAAGACAAGUUGGAAGUGAAAUCUAUGGGCUCAACCCAUAAACUGCUUUCAAAACUGUUUUUCUUGAGUAGUGCAGAGGUAGGCGGAAUUCCCGGUGUAGCGGUGGAAUGCGUAGAUAUCGGGAGGAACACCAGUGGCGAAGGCGGCCUACUGGGCACCAACUGACGCUGAGGCUCGAAAGUGUGGGUAGCAAACAGGAUUAGAUACCCUGGUAGUCCACACCGUAAACGAUGAUUACUAGGUGUUGGAGGAUUGACCCCUUCAGUGCCGCAGUUAACACAAUAAGUAAUCCACCUGGGGAGUACGACCGCAAGGUUGAAACUCAAAGGAAUUGACGGGGGCCCGCACAAGCAGUGGAGUAUGUGGUUUAAUUCGACGCAACGCGAAGAACCUUACCAAGUCUUGACAUCCUGCGACGCACAUAGAAAUAUGUGUUUCCUUCGGGACGCAGAGACAGGUGGUGCAUGGUUGUCGUCAGCUCGUGUCGUGAGAUGUUGGGUUAAGUCCCGCAACGAGCGCAACCCUUAUGGUCAGUUACUACGCAAGAGGACUCUGGCCAGACUGCCGUUGACAAAACGGAGGAAGGUGGGGAUGACGUCAAAUCAUCAUGCCCUUUAUGACUUGGGCUACACACGUACUACAAUGGCGUUAAACAAAGAGAAGCAAGACCGCGAGGUGGAGCAAAACUCAGAAACAACGUCCCAGUUCGGACUGCAGGCUGCAACUCGCCUGCACGAAGUCGGAAUUGCUAGUAAUCGCAGAUCAGCAUGCUGCGGUGAAUACGUUCCCGGGCCUUGCACACACCGCCCGUCA